CAUAAUAUGGAUUCUGCUGAACAUAAAUUUUAUAUGAUGUAUUUUAUUAAAACGGAAAUAGCACUUGCAGAUAUGAUAUCCUCUUAAUAUCGGUCAAAUAAUGAGAGUUGUGUGGAUGAUUAUAAUUUUGUAUUGAGAUUCUUCUCAGUUAUCUGUACAAAUCAUAACAGAUUCAGUUCAUUAUCAAAAUUUUGGUCAUAAGCUUAUGUGGAUCAUAUGUUGUCUUUAUUUGAAAAUUCACAAGUGUUUGAACUAUGAAUAUGUUACCAUCUCCCAUGUUAUGUUCAAAAUAUUCAGACUGUGAAGCACCAAUAUCUGUUAUUACGGAAAUAUUGUCAAAAAAUGAUCCUAUAAAGUAAA